rnacentral:lncRNA from 12 species
GCUCAGAGUGCUGGGAACAGUUUCCUUCGCAAAGAAAAAAGGGAAUUUUCAGAAAAUUCCAUUUUCUGGGAAAAGGGAUGCUCUGCUCCAAGGAAGGUUUGCAGCAGAGCAAGGCUGGGGGUGAUUCAAAUAUUUGAUAUUCUUAUUGAAUAUUUGCUAUUCAUGCUCCUCUCUCCCACUUAACAUUUCUCAUGCUGGGGCCUGGAGUGAUCAACAUCAGCAAACCUUGUUCAGGGCGCGCAGGAGUGAUGGGCUGAAGGUCAGGCUCAGUCUGAGGGGAGCACCAGGAUUAGGGGAAGGUGCCUUUCCCCCAGCUAUUAUUCACACUUCGUGGUGAGAGAACCUCCCCUCCAUCCUGGCAGCUGAAACUUGG